rnacentral:tRNA from 1 species
AGCUCAGUGGUAGAGUGUGUGCUUAGCAUGCACAAAGUCCUGGGUCCAAUCCCCAG